rnacentral:lncRNA from 1 species
CAGAUUAUACAUUCUUUGGUUGCUUAUGUCUUUACACAACCAACUUCAUCUUCAACAACAGAUUGAGAAAGGAAACUCUUGGCCAAAGACUAUGUCUAUUUAAACUUUCGCUCUGCCCAUUACGUUCUUUAAUUUUCUUGAGUCUAAAAGGAACUCAUGGAUCUCUUUUAAGAGUUGUAGAUGAAAUUGUUCAAAGACCACUUGGAUCUCCUGGUACUAACUAAAGACGUUUUCCUAAACAUGCAUUACUAAAUCAAUAUCUCAAGAAGACGUUUAGUCGAUCUUUGAAGUAGAGUUCUACAAUAGGGAGGAGUUAUAGACGGUCAAGAAGACCCAAAAGGUCCAAAGCAAGCUUUUUAGUCCUUUAUCAUAUUCUUUUGUUUUAAUCGUCAUCUUCGUUUCAUUAUCUACCAAAAAAGAUUGCUACGUGGUCGUUAUAUUCGUUUUUGUUGUUAAUUGUUGAUGCUUCUGCCUUCUGUUCAUGUGAUCGUUGAAACUUGACAAUAGGUUUCCGAAAAUGGCAGUGUUGUAGAGAACUAAACGGUUAAAAACCCCAAGGUUUGGGAGAGUUCAUGAGUUAACUUGUAAGUUUUGUCUUAUACAACGGAACGGCAGGUUAAAAGACACGUUUUGAUCGCGGAUAUAAAUGUUGCAUUGGUUUUCCAAUUUUGGUGAACUUAUCUAAUGGACAUAUAUAGGUUCAUGGAGUUUGUUCAAAAACAAAAGACAUAGGUUCAUGGAGUAAUAUGGAAGAACCGAACAUCGUUAACUAUCAUGUUAUCUCGAUUAAUAAUUUUUCCACCUAUUGAUCUAGCCUCAUUGAUUUUUUUGACAUGGAUUACAGUUACAAAAACAUUUUUAGAUAUAUUUAAUUAAUACUGCAUGUCAUGAACACUUAUAACAUUGAUGAAAUCAGAAAAUUUUCGUAACUCUUAGUUUAAUAUGGAUGUUACAAUUAUAGUGAAGGAGAGGAAGAUAACAAGAAAGACAUGACAAUGCCAUUGAAUAUUUUGGGCUUUUCCGUGUGGGGAAUAUGUGAUGUCUUUUGUAUCACUUUCAGCGUCGCCUUCUUCCCCAACAUCCUGGUAAAAUAUAUACAUACAUAAUUAAUUACUUCUUUUUCUUUAUUUUUAACCUAUAUAAACACACACGACUAUGAAUAACUCAUUUCUAUAUUCGUUCCAAAUUAGUUCUUAAUCUCGUCUCUUGAUGUCUCUAGCAUAGAAGUUAGCUAUCCGAUUACGUAACUUUACGUUAGAUCAAAAUUCGGACAGAAAUAUCGACUAGAAAAUGAUGUAAUUAACCAUUCGAUUCGAUUGAAACAUCUAUUUCCAUAUUUUUUAAAUGAUAUCAAAACCUUAAAAAUCCAAUUAAAUAAGCUUAUAAAACACAACUUAAAAACUAGAAUCAAAGUUUUGUUUACUGGAAUCAGCUGUGCUCGUAGUUACAAAAAAGAAGUAAAUCUUAAAAUUUGAAUAGCAAAAAUGUUUAAGCAAAACCACUUUAAAAGUUCUAUAUCAUAAGUUCAUAACCACAUAAUUUCAUAUUUACCAAGCAAAAAAACGAACUGGAUCAUAUAGUUGUACGUAAUUGCUUGGAUUAUUCCAUUCAAACGGAUUUUACAUCUUGGAUCUACUAAUUAAGCGUAGUGACGCCACUAGCGGUAAUAUCUUAAAACCAUUUGGAACUCGAUCAAAAAUAUUAAUUUGAGUAAUUAAGAAAUUAAAAGAAAUGAAGCAAUGAAAAAUCAAAACCCUAUGCUAUUUAUAUAUUAUGAUACGAUAUAUAUAUAUAUAUAUAUAUAUAUAUAUGAAUUAUGAAGUAGUAGGGUCUUACUCUUUAAGGUCAUAGGCCAUUUUCAAAGGAAAAACCUGAUCUUGCUCCCCCCAUAUCAGCAUUACAUCCUGCAUGAUUCAUGCUUACUUCAUUAUUUAUCAGGUAUUUAAUUUUUAUGAAUCAAAUAAAUUAAAAAUUUCUUAUUGUGUCACUUAUUAAUGCAAGUUCUUAUCAUGCAGUUUUUUUUUCGUAGUCACUUAUUCAUUAAAAAAACUACCCCAAAAAACACAAACUAAUCAUAUUGUUAACAUUCGAGGGCAACUGAGGUCUGAAUUAUGACAAACGUUGGUUUCUACAUUCCCGCUUACAUGUGAAGAAAACACAAAUUCAUAAAUAUCUUUGAAAAAUGCAAAUGUAAAUGUAAAUGUUCGCAAAUAUAAAGAUUCCGCACGUUUGCAUUUGGCGUUUACAUUACGAAUUAACAAAAACAAAUUUUUAAAAAAAGUUGUUGCACAUUUUAACAAAAUAUACACUAACUAUAAAUUUAAACGCAAACAAACAAUCUAAUUCUGAAACGAUUGAAUUUUUUUUUUACAUAUGUUAGUAAGAUGUCAUAAAUUCUUAGCCAUAUAUACAAGUAAUAUUAAUGAUAGCGUAAAAACCAAAAAAUACUAAUAAUGGUGAUAGCGAUUAGCGAACCUGUUGAACUGGAGAAACGUUUGAUUUUUCGUCCCUCCCAAUACUUAGCCCCUCCAGAAGUUCUGCUUUUUCCUCUCUCUUCUCCGAAUACAUUUUCUGUGUGUUUUCCCAAUUUUCAAAUAUCAUAUUAUCAAUCAUGCAAAGCCAAACUCUUCUUUUCAAUAGCGAUAUAAUAUUUAUUUAAUGUUGGGAGCGCAAUACUACGUAUACCGUUCUUUCUUUCCCCAAUCCUACACAAGCUUUUACUAUAACCAACUGAAAGUGACAACUUUCGCUGCCUUCUUUUAUCAAUCACUCAUUUUAAAUAUAAGCUAGUGGAGUGCAUCUUUAUGCUCCACUAUAUUUUCGUGUUAAUUUAUAAUAAGUUUUAAUAAGUGUGUUGUCAAUAUAUAUGUUUCCAAAAAGAAUGUAGCCCCCAAAGGAUCAUUAAUUGUAGAUUAUAUAUUCAUUGAAAUUGAAAUUCUAUGAUCAUUGUAGACGCUUUAAAUGGCAAUAAUACUUGGCGUUAGACUAGUUUGAGUAUCAGCAAUACGAUUCCCGUGAUUAACUUUAAAAAAAAAUAUCUUUCAAAAUGAUAAAGAGACACUUUUAUAAAAUAGGUGGAGACGUAAAGUAAUUAAUUACGAAUCUUUACUAAUAUUAUCCAUUACCUAAAGUAACGUUGUGCAUUCGGAUUUCGGAUGCAUAACUUAUAGGUUAUCAAAUAUUUUGAAACUUUGUUAUAAGACUAAAAAGAGGGUUUAAAACUGUUGAAGGGACUUUUUGUUUUUCUUCCAAGAAUACAAAAAAAAAAGAUGUAAAAAUACCUGGCAAAAGUCGUUCAAGACAAAAUUUGGCACAUAAUCGAGUCUCAUAGAAGAAAUCACCCCAGAGAAUCUCCGGAGAUCCGUUCCCGAGGAAGGAAGCAUCACCUCCGCGACACUACGGCACUUGGCUCUGGCGAUGAACGCUUCGUUGUCACUCCGCCGCAUAUUAACGCCGGAGCUAGCAAGAACCACUUUCUCCACUUUCUCCGGCAACAUUUUCGCCAUGUUAUACGCCACAAACCCACCGUAGCUCGUCCCGACAACACUAAACCUCUCGACGCCGAGCUUCUCCAUCAGCUUCCCCAUGCUCGAAGCCUGAAACAUCUCCGACCGAUUCUCCUCCGUGGAAGAAGAAGACGUGGUGGAGCCGCCGAAGAAGACGAGGUCGGGAAUGUAGAGACGGAAGGAGAGAGAGAGUUGCUUUACCUGAUAGCUCCACUGCCAUAAAGCGGAAGGGCCAAACCCGUGGAGGAGGAGGAGCGACGGUUUCUCUUUAUUUUCCGGCGACGGAGACGGUGGUGGGCUCCAAAACUGUAUGGUGGUUUCGGAGUCUAUGGAUUGUGUUUGCAGAGAGAGACCAGCGGAGGAGAAUCUCCGGCGAAGUAUUGCCUCAACGAAGUUUGCGACGCUUAGAAAUGACGACGGAGCCAUUUCUUAUAGCUUUUGCAAACACGUUUGAUCCUCCAAGAGCGAAAAAAAAUAACAAUUAUAGAGAGAAAGGGAUGAUUAAUAUUAAAUUUUAUUGAUUAAAAAUUACAUAUAUUUAUGAUGCAGGCUGACUUUUUGUUAAUUUUAGUUUCCUUUUUUGAUUCUUGUUAUAUUUAUUUUCUUUUGUCUAUUUUUGGAUGUAUCUGCCAGAAGAUGAUUUAGUGUUAAUUCAUCAGAGUGGAGGGGCGGGCCGGGCGGCGAAGGAAGAAGUUAUAUAGCACCUAAAGUAAUAAAUGGGUUCUUUAAUUACCUGCCAAUCUUGCUUUUAGUAGUCAAAUUGAUUUCUAAGCUAUAACCUGUAAUUUUUUCCUGCUUAGUAAUAGCUUGCAUAUUUUUGUCUUGUCAUGCUAGUCAAUUUAAUGUUGAAUAUUUCUUGUAAACGAACAUUUAAUUCUUUUAAAUUGAUGGUGUC